GACUUUUGGGAUAGCAUUGGAAAUGUAAAUGAGGAAAAUACCUAAUAAAAAUUAUUUAAAAAGAAAAAAACAAUAAAAAACAAAAAGAAAUACAUAUUGGAAAGAAGUUAAAAUAUCACUAUUUUCAGAUGAUAUGAUAGUGUGUGUGUGUGUGACCCCAAAACUUCCAGCAGAGAACUCCUAAACCUGAUAAACAACUUCAGUGAAGUAGCUGGAUAUAAACUUACCUCAAACAAAUCAGUGGCCUUUCUUUAUACAAAGGAUAAACAGGCUGAGAAAGAAAUUAGGGAAACAACACAACACCCUUCACAAUAGUCACAAAUAAUAUAAAAUACCUUAUUGUGUCUCUAACUAAGCAAGUGAAAGAUUUGAAUGAUAAUAACUUCAAGUCUCUGAAGAAAGAAAUUGAAGAAGAUCUCAGAAGAUGGAAAGAUCUCCCAUGCUUAUAGAUUGGCAGGAUUAAUAAAGUAAAAAUGGCUAUAGUAAAAAUGGCUAUCUUGGCAUAAACGAUAUACAGAUUCAAUGCCCUCCCCAUCAAAAUUCCAACUCAAUUCUUCACAGAAGUAGAAAGGGCAAUUUUCAAAUUCAACUGGAAUAACAAAAAACCUAGGAUAGCAAAAACUAUUCUCAAUAAUGAAAGAACUUUUGGUAGAAUCACCAUCCCAGACUUCAAGCUGUAUUACAGAGAAAUUGUGAUGAAAAAUGCAUGGUAUUAGUACAAUGACAGACAGGUUGAUCAUUGCAAUAGAAUUGAAGAUGCAGAAAUUAACCCACACAUCUAUGGUCACUUGAUCUUUGACAAAGAACCUUAAAUCAUCCAGUGGAAAAAAAGACAGAAUUUUCAAUAAAUGGUGCUGACUCAACUGGCGGACAUCAUGUAGAAGAAUGUGAAUUGAUUCAGUCUUAUCUCUUUGUACAAAGCUCAAGUCUAAGCGGAUCUAGGAACUCCACAUAAAACCAGAGACAGUGAAACUUAUAGAGAAGAAAGUGGGGAAGAGCCUUAAAGAUAUCGGCACAUGGGGAAAAUUCCUGAACAGAACAUUAAUGGCUAUUGCUGUAAGAUCAAGAAUAGACAAAUGGGACUUCAUAAAAUUGCAAAGCUUCUGUAAGGCAAAGGACACUCUCAAUAAGACAAAACAGCAACCAACAGAUUGAGAGGAAAUAUCUGCACCAACCCUAAAUCUGACAGAGGGCUAAUAUCUAAUAUGUAUAAAGAACUCAAGAGGUUGGACUCCAGAAAACCAAUUAAGCCUAUGAAAAAAAAAUAGGGUAAAGAUAUAAACAAAGAAUUCUCAACUGAGGAAUACCAAAUGACCAAGAAGCACCUAAAAAAAAUGUUUAACAUCCUUAAUCAUCAGGGAUAUGCAAAUCAAAACAACCCUGAGAUUCCACCUCACACCAGUCAGAAUGGCUAAGAUCAAAAACUCAAGUGACACCAGAUGCUGGUGAGGAUGUGGAGAAAGAUGAACACUCCUUCAUUGCUGGUGGGAUUGCAAGCUGGUACUACCUCUCUGGAAAUCAGUUUGGCAGUUCCUCAGAAAAUUGGACAUAGUACUACAGGAAGAUCUAGCAAUACCACUCCUUGGCAUAUACCCAGAAGAUUCUACAACUUGUGAAAAGGACAAAUGCUCCACCAUGUUCUAGCAGACUUUUUUUUAUAAUAGCAAGAAGCUUGAAAGAACAUAGAUGUCCCUCAACAGAGGAAUGGAUACAGAAAAUGUGGUACAUUUGCACAAUGGAGUACUACUCAGCUAUUAAAAACAAUGAAUUCAUUAAUUUCUUAGACAAAUGGGUGGAUCUGAAGGAUAUCAUCCUAAGUGAGUUAACACAAUUACAAAAGAACACCCAUGAUAUGCAUGCACGGAUAAGUGGAUAUUAGCCCAGAAAAUCAGAAUACCCAAGAUACAAUUUGCAAAACAUAUGGAACUUAAAAAGAAGGAAGACCAAAGUGUGGAUACUUCAAUCCUUCUUAGAAGGGGGAAAACAUACCCAUGGAAGGAAUUACAGCAACAAAGUUCAGAAGGAAUGACCAUCAUGAAACUGCCCCAUCUAUGAAUCCAUCCCAUAGUCAACCACCAAACCCAGACACUAUUGCAGAUGCCAACACGUGCUUGUGAACAGGAGGAGCCUGAUAAAGUUGUCUCCUGAGAGGCUCUGCCAGCCUCUCAGGAGAGGCUACUGUGGAUGCUCACAGUCUUCCAUUGGACGGAGCACAGAGUCCACAGGGGAGGAGUUAGAGGAAGUUCCCAAGGAAUUUUCUGAAGGGGUUUGCAGCCCCAUAGGAGGAACAGCAAUAUAAACUAACCAGUAACCCCAGAGCUCCCUGAGACUAAACCACCAAUCAAAGAAAACACAUAGAGGGACUCGUGGUUCUAGCCACAUAUGUAGCAAAGGAUGACCUAUCAGUGGGAGGAGAGGCCCUUCGUCCUGUGAAUGUUCUAUGUCCCAGUAUAGAGGAAUGCCAGGGCCAGGAAUCGGGAGUGGGUGGGUUGGAGAGCAGAGGGAGGAGGGAGAGGAAAGGGGAUUUUUGGAAGGGAAACUAAGAAAGGGGAUAACAUUUGAAAUGUAAAUAAAUAAAAUAGCU
rnacentral:lncRNA from 1 species